UUUCCGUAGGUGAACCUGCGGAAGGAUCAUUCAUAAUAAAGUGUUUUAUGGCACUUUUUAAAAAUCCAUAUCCACCUUGUGUGCAAUGUUAGAUCUCGUCAAUCUUGGCGAGAUUUUUAUACAUCAACUCAUUCUUUAACUAAUUUGUCUGAAAAAUAUUAUGAAUACUUAAUUCAAAAUACAACUUUCAACAACGGAUCUCUUGGCUCUCGCAUCGAUGAAGACGCAGC
rnacentral:misc_RNA from 1 species